AAUGAGCGCUGGCGGCAUGCCUUACACAUGCAAGUCGAACGGCAGCAUGACCUAGCUUGCUAGGUUGAUGGCGAGUGGCGAACGGGUGAGUAAUGCAUCGGAACGUGCCUUUUAGUGGGGGAUAACGUAGCGAAAGUUACGCUAAUACCGCAUAUUCUCUGAGGAGGAAAGCAGGGGACCUUCGGGCCUUGCGCUAGAAGAGCGGCCGAUGUCGGAUUAGCUAGUUGGUGAGGUAAAGGCUCACCAAGGCAACGAUCCGUAGCGGGUCUGAGAGGAUGAUCCGCCACACUGGGACUGAGACACGGCCCAGACUCCUACGGGAGGCAGCAGUGGGGAAUUUUGGACAAUGGGCGCAAGCCUGAUCCAGCCAUGCCGCGUGAGUGAAGAAGGCCUUCGGGUUGUAAAGCUCUUUCGGCUGGGAAGAAAUCGCACCCUCUAAUACAGGGUGUGGAUGACGGUACCAGCAUAAGAAGCACCGGCUAACUACGUG
rnacentral:rRNA from 1 species